GAAGAGAUGGUUGAGUGGUUGAUAGCUCCUGUUUUGAAAAUCGGUAUAGUUCGAAACAUAGAAUUAUCGAAGGUUUGAAUUCCUCUCUCUCCU
rfam:Gossypium raimondii chromosome 5, whole genome shotgun sequence.